rnacentral:rRNA from 1 species
AUUGAACGCUGGCGGCAGGCCUAACACAUGCAAGUCGAACGGUAGCACAGAGAGCUUGCUCUCGGGUGACGAGUGGCGGACGGGUGAGUAAUGUCUGGGAAACUGCCCGAUGGAGGGGGAUAACUACUGGAAACGGUAGCUAAUACCGCAUAACGUCGCAAGACCAAAGUGGGGGACCUUCGGGCCUCACACCAUCGGAUGUGCCCAGAUGGGAUUAGCUAGUAGGUGGGGUAAUGGCUCACCUAGGCGACGAUCCCUAGCUGGUCUGAGAGGAUGAACAGCAACACUGGAACUGAGACACGGUCCAGACUCCUACGGGAGGCAGCAGUGGGGAAUAUUGCACAAUGGGCGCAAGCCUGAUGCAGCCAUGCCGCGUGUAUGAAGAAGGCCUUCGGGUUGUAAAGUACUUUCAGCGGGGAGGAAGGCGGUGGAGUUAAUAACUUCACCGAUUGACGUUACCCGCAGAAGAAGCACCGGCUAACUCCGUGCCAGCCGCCGCCGUAA